UACGUAGGGACCGAGCGUUGUCCGGAUUCAUUGGGCGUAAAGAGCUCGUAGGCGGCCACUCAAGUCGAAUGUGAAACCUCGAGGCUUAACCUCGAGCCUGCAUUCGAUACUGGGCGGCUAGAGUCUGGUAGGGGGAUCUGGAAUUCCUGGUGUAGCGGUGGAAUGCGCAGAUAUCGGGAGGAACACCAGUGGCGAAGGCGAUCUUCUGGACGGAUACUGACGCUGAGGCGCGAAAGCUAGGGGAGCAAACGGG
rnacentral:rRNA from 1 species